GUUAUUUGGACUCAUGGGCUAAAUUGUUAGGCCAAGAAUUUGUUCUUCACACUUAGGGCUAAUUCGGGAAACUCUUGAUACUCUAUUUUGGUCCACUUUAUUCUGUUUUUUUUAAAAAGUACUUUUUUUUUCAGUUAGCAUGUUUGAUAGCCCAAUAAGUUAAAAACAUUAUUGUGUAAUAUAGGCUUUUCGGAGUAACAUUGUGUAAGCAUUGUCAGUCAACCCUUCCCAGAAGUGCGAGCUAUUAUUGUUAUUUCUAAAAGCCAUCACAUUGUUCUUCCUCCCUUUGUGAUGAUUGCUGAUGACGAGCAUCAAUGACAUGUUUAAUCUACAUUUAUUUGCUUCUACAUUUGGUUACCAGCAUGUAGCAAAGCAGGUAGCUUUGCAUGAUGAAUUUGACUCGUAUUUAGAUUCAUGUGAUUCAAUACAGCAUGAUAGUUCUAUUAAUGAACUUCUUGAAGAUGAGACGGUGGUGACGUGUGAGACCCCAGAUAGUCCUAUAUAUGAGAUAUAAUAGGGCUAAACU